rnacentral:lncRNA from 1 species
AGGAGUGAAAUAUACAUUCUUCUCACUUGUACAUGGAACAUUCUCCAAGAUAAAUCAUACAUUAGGCUACAAAUUUAAAGUCACGAAGGUUGAAAUUAUAUCAGAUAUCUUUUCUGACCACAAUGAUAUAAAAGUAGAAAUCAAUAACAAGAAGAGUAACAUUUAGCUAGACUAAGAAAAAAGAAAGAAGACUCAAAUGAAUAAAAUCAGAAAUAAAAGAGAAGACACUGUAAUUCAUACUACAGACACACAAAGGACCAUAAGAGAUUGCUAUGAACAAUUAUACACCAAAGAAUUGGAUAACCUAGAAGAAAUGGGUAAAUUCCUAGAC